AGAAGGAUUACAUUGAGAAGAGUGUUUUUGGUUGGUUGUUAUACUUGCCAAGUUGUAUAAAGAUAGGAUCAAAGUAUCUCAUUGUCUGCUUCGGUGCACAACAAAGUCCUUCUGCAUGCAGAGGUUGGUGCAUUGAGUCCUUUUGGAAGGAUUUACUAUUUGAAUAUAACCGUCCGGAACGUUGUCAAGGUCUUCAAAGCUGACAUUGGUCCUCCAACUGAGGAACUACUUAACGCUUCAUCAAGACCUGUGAAUCGACCCUACCCAUGUGCCCAAAACAACAACAAAAACAAAGAUGUUGGUCCAUAUGAAAAGGCUUGUCCUUCUGCCUCUAAUAAUAAAACAACAACUCCCAUGGAAGAUUGAUGAGCGUUUAGAAAUUGACGUUAUGUUUGUAUUUCAAUCAUUAGUUAACAUAAAUAUUAGUUAUGUUUUGUAACCUAUUGUAUGCAGUU
rnacentral:sRNA from 1 species